rnacentral:rRNA from 1 species
CAGUAGGGAGGAAGGUGGUAGUGUUAAUAGCGCUAUCAUUUGACGGUUACCUACAGAAGAAGCACCGGCUAACUCCGUGCCAGCAGCCGCGGUAAUACGGAGGGUGCGAGCGUUAAUCGGAAUUACUGGGCGUAAAGCGCAUGCAGGUGGUUUGUUAAGUCAGAUGUGAAAGACCCCGGGCUCAACCUGGGAAUUGCAUUUGUAAACUAGGCAAACUAGAGUACUGUAGAGGGGGGUAGGAAUUUCAGGUGUAGCGGUGAAAAUGCGUAGAGAUCUGAAGGAAUACCGGUGGCGAAGGCGGCCCCCUGGACAGAUACUGACACUCAGAUGCGAAAGCGUGGGGAGCAAACAGGAUUAGAUACCCUGGUAG